CCAGGAAGUACCUUGAAGUCUGUUCAGGUUGUAUGCCUAUAUUCAACCAGCAAGGUACUUGAAGUGUGUUCAGGUUGUAUGCCUAUAUUCAACCAGCAAGUACCUUGAAGUCUGUUCAGGUUGUAUGCCUAUAUUCAACCAGCAAGUACCUUGAAGUCUGUUCAGGUUGUAUGCCUAUAUUCAACCAGCAAGUACCUUGAAGUCUGUUCAGGUUGUAUGCCUAUAUUCAACCAGCAAGUACCUUGAAGUCUGGUCAGGUUGUAUGCCUAUAUUCAACCAGCAAGUACCUUGAAGUCUGGUCAGGUUGUAUGCUGGGCAUCAGUAUCUCAGUGAUGGAAAUGAAGCCUUUAACUUUUGAAUCUGUAAGAAAUGUCUUGAAUUGAAAAUUGAUUUUUGUAAGGAACUACACAGCCAUCAAAGUUGUAAAUGGUUUUAUGCAGUAUUUUAUAGUUCACUGCUGCUAUAGAUUGUUCCUAGUUCACUGCUGCUAUAGAUUGUUCUCGGUGCAGUA